rnacentral:hammerhead_ribozyme from 1 species
AUUCAGCUGACGAGUCCCAAAUAAAACGAAACGCGCGUCCUGGAU